GAUGAACGCUAGCGGCAGGCCUAAUACAUGCAAGUCGAACGAUAUCUUCCAGCUUGCUGGAAGAGAAAGUGGCGCACGGGUGCGUAACGCGUAUGCAACCUACCUUUAUCAGGGGGAUAGCCCGGAGAAAUCCGGAUUAAUACCGCAUAACAUCAUUGGAUAGCAUUAUUUUAUGAUCAAACAUUUAUGGGAUAAAGAUGGGCAUGCGUGUCAUUAGCUAGUUGGCGGGGUAACGGCCCACCAAGGCGACGAUGACUAGGGGAUCUGAGAGGAUGGCCCCCCACACUGGUACUGAGACACGGGCCAGACUCCUACGGGAGGCAGCAGUAAGGAAUAUUGGUCAAUGGAGGGAACUCUGAACCAGCCAUGCCGCGUGCAGGAAGACUGCCCCAUGGGUUGUAGACUGCUUUUAUCCGGGAAUAAACCUGAGUACGUGUACUUAGCUGAAUGUACCGGAAGAAUAAGGAUCGGCUAACUCCGUGCCAGCCGCCGCGGUAAAAC
rnacentral:rRNA from 1 species